rnacentral:rRNA from 1 species
AGAGUUUGAUCCUGGCUCAGAUUGAACGCUGGCGGCAGGCUUAACACAUGCAAGUCGAGCGGAGAUGAGGUGCUUGCACCUUAUCUUAGCGGCGGACAGGUGAGUAAUGCUUAGGAAUCUGCCAUUUAGUGGGGGACAACAUUCCGAAAGGAAUGCUAAUACCGCAUACGUCCUACGGGAGAAAGCAGGGGAUCUUCGGACCUUGCGCUAAAUGAUGAGCCUAAGUCGGAUUAGCUAGUUGGUGGGGUAAAGGCCUACCAAGGCGACGAUCUGUAGCGGGUCUGAGAGGAUGAUCCGCCACACUGGGACUGAGACACGGCCCAGACUCCUACGGGAGGCAGCAGUGGGGAAUAUUGGACAAUGGGCGGAAGCCUGAUCCAGCCAUGCCGCGUGUGUGAAGAAGGCCUUUUGGUUGUAAAGCACUUUAAGCGAGGAGGAGGCUACCUAGAUUAAUACUCUGGGAUAGUGGACGUUACUCGCAGAAUAAGCACCGGCUAACUCUGUGCCAGCAGCCGCGGUAAUAC